rnacentral:tRNA from 1 species
GCCUGUAUAGUUCAAUGGUAGAAUAACUCACUUGUAAUGAGUAGAUGCUGGUUCGACUCCGGCUAUGGGCU